rnacentral:misc_RNA from 1 species
CUACGUUCACUCAACGGGGAAGCUAAGGAACUACCCAUCAGAAUAAAUAGCGAAAAAAGCUUCAAAGUUGUUUGGCGAUUCAACAUGGACGUUGUGUGAGAUGAGAAAUAAAACUAAGAGCACGCGUUCUAGAUCAUUAGGCAAAACAAAUCGUUUUCAUGGGACAAUUAGCUACGGCAUACAGAUCAUAAAAACUAAUAGGUUUAAAAAUAUAUAUACCGAGAAUAGUAUGAAAAGUACACGGCGUUUCAUUUGCACUAUUUCUGCCAUUUCCUUUUAAAAUGUAGUUUCCCGAAUAAAAUUCAAUUUAUCAACGAACCGUUUUAAUUCUAACAAAUUGGUUAUUUUUAUAAGCCAAACCAUAUUCUGGCAGCAAUUAUUUUCAUCUACAAAUGCCGCGGGCAUCCACUCCACUCCAAUCCAUUCCAAUGGUCAACAGCCACUCGGACGUACAAAUAUCCGCAGACAGAUAUAGAAAGUUACCCGCCAAAGGGCCAUUCAAGCCGUCAUUCGGGCCAGCAGAGGUAAACAGCCAACGCAAAAGCCCUUGUGCAGCGUUGAUAAAGCUGAACUAUGACCUAUGCCUCGGACAUUCGGAUUUUCGGAAAACGGAAAAGGAUUUUUUCUUCAGCAGAACGAUUGAGCGGCAGCUAAUAUUUUUGCCCUUUUUUUUGUGGGCCAACAACAGCGAGUUGGAGGAACAAUAAUAGCUGCGGCAGCAGCAGGACACAGAUUGCGAUGAUGGGGCCGCAUGGGGCGUAGGAGCAUUUUUAGUUUGGCCCUUUCGCAGACGAUGAUGUGAUGUGAGAUUGGGGCAGCAAUGCUGCCAUAACUCUCAAGAAGCCGUGGCGAAUGAAAUGAAAUAUGAAGGGGCUUGGAUUGGCCAUCAAGUGAACAGAUCCUUUUCAGUAGUUCUCCGGGCUUGGGGUCCAUAAUCGCUGGGACUUAAAGAUUUUCGGCUGAAAAAGGCAAAUAAAUUGAUUCUCCUCGAGAUGGAAGUACUCUCUUAUCAUGGUUUUUCGUUUUCCACCUUCUUGAUGUCUUCAUGCCAUUGUGACCACUUUUCCCCGAUUUUGUGCACCAUGAUUGAGAAGUUGUUGGCUUUCGAAUGUUUGCCAUUUCAUUUAUCAAAGUGUCGUUUUGUCCGGGGUCCUCGAACUUGCCAUUUCUGCGACCUGUCACGUAUAACUAUUUCUGAUCUCAGACAUUAAAUCAUUGACAGUUGCUUAUGUUUUCAAUGGCUUUUCUAUUGCAUGUGAAGGCAAGGAAUUCCACCAGGAACCUACUUGAAUUAUGGUUGGGCCAUUUAUUAUUUCCAUUUUGCCUUUUUUUUAGUCCGUUUUGUUUCGCCUAAGAGACCGAAACGUUGAAAGCUAAUCUAUUUUAAGUGGCUGUAAAGCAUUCAAGGAUGUGGGAAUCCGUUUGUGUGAGUGUUUCUUUAAUGAAAUGUAGCAUAAUAUUUUCAUUUCGUCCCGGACAUGUGGGUGUGAUGUGUGUGUAUGUGUGAUAAGCGUGUAAAUCCCCAAAAAUAGCCAAAGACAAGCACAAAUCCCAAAUGUAUAUAUAGUAUAACGAGGAUGCGGAGUGCGAGGAGCAUUCGCUGGCGACCAGUGACCAUAAAUCCGAGUAAAAUGUAUUUUGACAUUUUGCACGCAAAGCGUGUGGCAGAAACUAACUAAGCGUGGUCGGGAUUCCCACAGUCCUACAUGCCAUACACGCCCCAAAACGAAAGGUCAUUCCAAUGAUGACGAGAAAGGACAUCAGGCCAGGAUGGCUAGCUGGCUGGCUAGGAUUUGCCAUGAAGUGUUAACAUGCGAUAACAGCGGCAACGAAUAAAACACAAUGAAGCGCAACUGAUGAGGAUGCGGUGAAUGGGCAUUCGAAUGGGGGACCUUGAUGAUGCCUAAUGCGAAAGGAAAGACCCAGAUCCCACCCGAGCGAACCCAUUCCCGUUGCCAAUCCCACGCCCAAUUCCCAAGCGAAACUGAAACACAGACCACAAACGAAAUCAAUCUUGGCCCAGGCCUCAGUUCGAAGGAAGUAAAUGAUGUGAAAUGGCUUGAAACGAAGGAUAAGGACGAAAUCAAUGCCUGUAUUUUUGUUUUUACACUUUUGUAUCUCUCAGCCUUGAGUUAUGAAUUUCAAAAUAGAAACUAGCAAUCGAGUGAAAUGAUAUAUUACGAUUACCCGAUACCUAAGCGAACACAUACAUAACUAUAUUCUUUAACACUAUAGCAUCCUAGAAUUGGAAACUUUGUAACUUAAAAUAAAGUACUUUAUCUCCCCAUGA